rnacentral:rRNA from 1 species
UACGUAGGGCGCAAGCGUUAUCCGGAAUUAUUGGGCGUAAAGAGCUCGUAGGCGGUUUGUCGCGUCUGCCGUGAAAGACCGGGGCUCAACUCCGGUUCUGCAGUGGGUACGGGCAGACUAGAGUGUGGUAGGGGAGACUGGAAUUCCUGGUGUAGCGGUGAAAUGCGCAGAUAUCAGGAGGAACACCGAUGGCGAAGGCAGGUCUCUGGGCCACUACUGACGCUGAGAAGCGAAAGCAUGGGGAGCGAACAGG